UACCAUGCAAGUCGAACGGUGAACACGGAGCUUGCUCUGUGGGAUCAGUGGCGAACGGGUGAGUAACACGUGAGCAACCUGCCCCUGACUCUGGGAUAAGCGCUGGAAACGGCGUCUAAUACUGGAUAUGUGACGUGACCGCAUGGUCUGCGUCUGGAAAGAAUUUCGGUUGGGGAUGGGCUCGCGGCCUAUCAGCUUGUUGGUGAGGUAAUGGCUCACCAAGGCGUCGACGGGUAGCCGGCCUGAGAGGGUGACCGGCCACACUGGGACUGAGACACGGCCCAGACUCCUACGGGAGGCAGCAGUGGGGAAUAUUGCACAAUGGGCGCAAGCCUGAUGCAGCAACGCCGCGUGAGGGACGACGGCCUUCGGGUUGUAAACCUCUUUUAGCAGGGAAGAAGCGAAAGUGACGGUACCUGCAGAAAAAGCGCCGGCUAACUACGUGCCAGCAGCCGCGGUAAUACGUAGGGCGCAAGCGUUAUCCGGAAUUAUUGGGCGUAAAGAGCUCGUAGGCGGUUUGUCGCGUCUGCUGUGAAAUCCGGAGGCUCAACCUCCGGCCUGCAGUGGGUACGGGCAGACUAGAGUGCGGUAGGGGAGAUUGGAAUUCCUGGUGUAGCGGUGGAAUGCGCAGAUAUCAGGAGGAACACCGAUGGCGAAGGCAGAUCUCUGGGCCGUAACUGACGCUGAGGAGCGAAAGGGUGGGGAGCAAACAGGCUUAGAUACCCUGGUAGUCCACCCCGUAAACGUUGGGAACUAGUUGUGGGGUCCAUUCCACGGAUUCCGUGACGCAGCUAACGCAUUAAGUUCCCCGCCUGGGGAGUACGGCCGCAAGGCUAAAACUCAAAGGAAUUGACGGGGACCCGCACAAGCGGCGGAGCAUGCGGAUUAAUUCGAUGCAACGCGAAGAACCUUACCAAGGCUUGACAUAUACGAGAACGGGCCAGAAAUGGUCAACUCUUUGGACACUCG
rnacentral:rRNA from 1 species